rnacentral:rRNA from 1 species
UGCGCCGAAAAUGUACCGGGGCUAAACAUAUUACCGAAGCUGUGGAUCGUCCUUUAGGACAAUGGUAGGAGAGCGUUCUAAGGGCGUUGAAGCAUGAUCGCAAGGACAUGUGGAGCGCUUAGAAGUGCGAAUGCCGGUGUGAGUAGCGAAAGACGGGUGAGAAUCCCGUCCACCGAUUGACUAAGGUUUCCAGAGGAAGCCUCGUCCGCUCUGGGUUAGUCGGGUCCUCAGCUGAGGCCGCCAGGCGUA